rnacentral:lncRNA from 1 species
CGUGUGGAGAAAAUAUACAAGUAAGACCGCUACGUGCCUGGCGACUGGAGAUGUGAUGGGGCACAGCGCACAGAGAGCCAUAAUGGCCUCAUGCUACAGGUCUGGGACGCUCAGCAACACCCCAGCAGGCACUGCACUGUCUAGUGGACAAGCUCUGUUAGCAGGAAGAGCUUCUCUGCGUCUGCUCAAGAAAGGCUGGUCAAGGCUCCCUCCACCUACACAUACUGUGGUUGGAGAAAUCAAGGUUCCUGGCAAAAGAGAGUAGCUUCACGGGAGGCAUGAGGCCGAGGUCGUUCUGUCAUGCUCUCCUAGUCUCCAUCCGACCGACCGUCCAAAGCGUCCUACUAGCGUCUGGCUGAGGGAAGGAAGCAGGGCCUAGAUCCAUACAAAAACAGCUUGGCCACAGCAAGAAUCUGCGUACAAACCAGCAAAUGAGGCAGAAAACUUCCUUCCCAGGGAAGAAUUGCAAAGCGUCCCCAGAGAUAGCUAAUAAAAUUUACUUUUUUUUAGUUUCAGUUUGUAGUAUUUUUUUUAACAUGGUGGGCAUGUAAAUUCAACUCUCUGUAUUGAAGAAGCAAAAACUUUGCAUUCCUAAAGAAUCCAUCAUGUGUUAUUCCUGAGGCUUGCCUUUUGAUUCCAUUGACCGUUAGCUCAGUAGAAAUCAGACAUGACUAGUCACUGAAUAUGUGUAUUAGCUCAACCCACCUAGAAAAAGUGUUCUUAAAAUCCGUUCUUGGUAGAAGGGCUUUGUAACUCGAAAAAUGCCCCCUUCGCUUCCAUAUAAAACUAAACCAAAUCACUCUAUUAGAGCAUUAUUUGUUAUGUAAAUUGUAUUUCAAUACAUAAAAAUAAAGCAUGGUUUUAAAAACU